UCAAUAGUGAAUUUGUCUAUGUGGGAACAUAACAGAGUCUCCACCCUUAGCACCAGGUCAGCCUGAAUCUGACUGUCCUUCUCAAGGUAUACAUUUUUGGAAGAAUUCAUUUACCUGAGGACGUGUGCAGGAGAAAUAAAGCAUUAAUACAACUGUGGUGAAACUGAUUCUGUAACAGUGCACUGACAACAAACUAGUAAGAAAAUGCUGGGUGUGGUGCCCCUGGACUCACCUGUUCGUCGUUAUUGUAACGAGGGAGAGCUGUGAAAUCAGAGAGCAAGUGUUGGACGGGAAGAAGUUGCCAUUUUGUAGCCUGGUCGGAAAGAAAAGGUUGCAGUCUGCAUUGAGCUUGGACUUAAGACCAGCAUGGAUGUGGAAAGGGGUGCUUGAGAAGAGAUCAGUUGGCUGUGAGGAACAGCGUGGAGGCUUCUGAGGCAGCCUGCUUUGUGGUACCAGGCUUUGGGAUUUCUUUUCUACCUGUGUAAACAGGUGAAGUGGAGGCAGCCCGUGAAGUGCUGGGGGAGAGUGAGAUGAUUUCAUGUUUGCCUGGAUACAAGAUCUACUUGUAUGACAUAUCAAAAGCGUUCAGUAAUAGCUCUGCAGGCUUUUUCCUGCAGAACAGCACCAGUUUGGGAACAGCUUCACUGGGCUAAAACUCAGUUGCUCUGUGUGGCAGAGGGCAGCAAGAUAUGUGAUUUCUUGAUGAAAUGGGGAGGCAGCUGA
rnacentral:lncRNA from 1 species